rnacentral:rRNA from 1 species
UACGGGGGGGGCAAGCGUUGUUCGGAAUUACUGGGCGUAAAGGGCUCGUAGGUGGCCAACUAAGUCGGACGUGAAAUCCCUCGGCUUAACCGGGGAACUGCGUCUGAUACUGGAUGGCUUGAGUUCGGGAGAGGGAUGCGGAAUUCCAGGUGUAGCGGUGAAAUGCGUAGAUAUCUGGAGGAAUACCGGUGGCGAAGGCGGCAUCCUGGACCGACAUUGACGCUGAGGAGCGAAAGCUAGGGGAGCAAACGGGG